UUGGGGGGGGAAUAAAGAAAAAAAAAAUUAUUUCCCCCCCAGGCGCUUCUGGGGCCGGCAGCGGGGAGAAGCGCUCUUCUCCCCGCAGCCCGCCUUCAGACCAGGUCCGGGGACAGCGGGAAGACGCGCUGCGCCUCCCAGCUGUCCCCGGAGCUUGUGGGGCAGGCAGCGGGGAGAAGCGCUCUUCUCCCCGCCG
rnacentral:sRNA from 1 species